GUGAUGACAAUGACCGCUGGCGACCUCGUGACCGGGGUAUGCAGCGCUGA
rnacentral:snoRNA from 1 species